rnacentral:tRNA from 1 species
AAGGGUAUAACUCAGGGGUACAGUGCAUGCCUAGCAUGCAUGAGGUCCUGAGUUCAAUCCCAGUAUCUCCA